rnacentral:rRNA from 1 species
GACAGAGGAUGCAAGCGUUAUCCGGGAUGAUUGGGCGUAAAGCGUCUGUAGGUGGCUUUUUAAGUCUGCCGUCAAAUCCCAGGGCUUAACCCUGGACAGGCGGUGGAAACUACCAAGCUGGAGUAAGGUAGGGGCAGAGGGAAUUUCCGGUGGAGCGGUGAAAUGCGUAGAGAUCGGAAAGAACACCAACGGCGAAAGCACUCUGCUGGGCCGACACUGACACUGAGAGACGAAAGCUAGGGGAGCGAAUGGG